GCGGCGUGAUUACAAACCGGACGUCUGAAGGCCAACCGACCGCAGAGUCGAUGUGGACCCUUGUCCCCCGUGGCUGAGUG
rnacentral:snoRNA from 1 species